rnacentral:lncRNA from 1 species
UCCCGCCCGCGUCGUCCCUGGCGCCGCCUCCCCCCUGCCUCCUUUCCCGCUGCGGUCAUGUAGGAAAUUGUAGAUCAUGUGAAGAUGGGACUGUUGAUAUUUGUUCGCAAUCUGCUGCUAGCCCUCUGCCUUUUUCUGGUACUGGGAUUUUUGUAUUAUUCUGCAUGGAAGCUACAUUUACUCCAGUGGGAGGACUCCAAUGUAGAAACUGAGGCUUCAAAGAGGCUCAGUGAUCAAGAGUUUGUCUCUCAUCUGUGGAGCUUAGAGGGCACUACCAAGCUUGAAAAAUAAAUGUCUUUGGCAUUAUUUUCCUUAAUUUUUAUUCAUUUAUGACUUAACCAAGGUUACAUAUUAGGAUUCCAUCACGUUGGGGGAAAGACGGGGAGUCAAGAGUUUUUUAUUAUCAACUGAUUUAUUCAGUAAGCAAUAUGUUCUUAUUAUGGUCCAAACUGUUCUAUGUAAACUGCAUAUAAGAUGAAGGU